rnacentral:lncRNA from 1 species
GAGAGCUAGGGAGGAGCAGAGAAGGAAGAGGCAGAACUACUGAACAAAACCCCACAGCAGCCUUUUUGGCAUCGUUUGUGAAGGAAAGGGGAGAGAACAGGAGAGAGAUCCUAAUCUUAAAUAUGUAUUGGGUGCUGCCAUCCAACAGUGGCGGGUGUGGACUGAAAUGCUCAGUAGCCAGGGGAGAUGGUAGAUUAGGCAGAUUGUUUACUGUGAGAUGCACAGAGGGAAAAGAUCUGGGAAGACUCAAGGAUGGGCUGCAGAAAGGUGUGAGGCUUAAAGCAGGACUCCUGAUCCUUUCCAGAAAGAAAAAUCAGCCAUGGGCUGCCUGUCGAGGGACAGCAAGCUGCGUGGGCAUAUGGGCUGCUGGUCCCAUGCCUGGGAGAAAGCAGGUCCCAAACCUCAGAAAAGUUCAUUUUAUGCAAGGGCUGACUGCCUGAAUGCCUCUGGGGCAGGCAUUGAGCUCUGCCUGCUGCAAGCAUGAUGGAAGGAAUCGAUGGGAGUGGUGUUUAGAGCUUCACUGCUUGAGCUCCUUGCACUCAGCCUGAAAAAGCACAUCUCCAACAGGAAAACAUCUUAAACUAACAGGAUCUCAAGCUUUAAGAAGCCUAGCAAGUUUAUGGCAUUGCAUUUUGAAGAAAGAAAUAGAAGCAGAAUAAAUAUAUAUUCCAUUACA